AGCCUACGGGAGGCAGCAGUGAGGGAUAUUGGUCAAUGGGGGAAACCCUGAACCAGCAACGCCGCGUGAGGGAAGACGGUUUUCGGAUUGUAAACCUCUGUCCUCUGUGAAGAUGAUGACGGUAGCAGAGGAGGAAGCUCCGGCUAACUACGUGCCAGCAGCCGCGGUAAUACGUAGGUGGCGAGCGUUAUCCGGAAUGAUUGGGCGUAAAGGGUGCGUAGGCGGCCUGCUAAGUCUGGAGUGAAAGGUACCGGCUCGACC
rnacentral:rRNA from 1 species